UGGUCGGGGUCGGAGAUGAGGCCGCGCCACCGCCUGGACACGCACUUGCAUCGGCAGACCGACUUGACGGGGAGGCGGGAGAGGAUGUCGACGAUGAGGUCUUCGGUGAGCUCGGCCGCCGGAUUCCUCGUCGCACUGGAUCCCUCCUCCUCCUUCUUGGAUUUCUCUCUCGCCAUGUCGCCGAGAAGCGCGAGCUGCAAACAAAUCGGCGGUCAGAAAAUUGGGGAAACCGUUCAAGAAGGCGGGGAAGGAGAGGAAAAUGGUCGCCGUCGCGUACCGGCUACCGGCGGAGAAGAGGGCGGCGGCGGCGGCGGCGAGGGUUUCUCCUGCAACGGCGGCGUGGCGAGUGGUACGACGAGGGGGAGAGAGAGUGUGUGUGUCUUGGGCCUUUGGGCCCAAAUGCCACUGCGCAAGCGGAAAAAAAUCGAGUUUCUUUACCAAUCGUCAAUUUAAAAAAAAAAGUCAAUGAGCAGCGUGUGUUGCAUUUCACGGACACGGUUUGCGUGGUCGAUCUUGUGCGUGAUAUAUGUAUAAACUCAGUCCCAAUAACAUCGGAUGUUUAACACUAAUUAGAAUUAUUAAAUGUAGACUAAUGACAAAACUCAUUUCAUAACUCUGGAGUAAUUCGCGAGACGAAUCUAUUAAGCUUAAUUAAUCCAUGAUUAGCCUAUGUGAUGCUACAGUACACAUGUGCUAAUUAUGAAUUAAUUAGACAUAAAAAAAUUAUCUCGUGAAUUAACUCUCAUUUAUGCAAUUAGUUUUGUAAUUAAUCUAUGUUUAAUACUCCAAAAUAACAUCCAAAUAUCCGAUGUGACAAGGACUAAACUAGUUUAAGCUCUGAAACACCACCAUAAUACUAUGCCACUGCUACGAAAGUAGUCGGGCUGUGUUUUUUCCUACUCCCUCCGCAAAAAAGAAAAAAUCAAUCUCGUAUAAAAUAAAUCAACCUCGUAUAGGAUCUGAUGCAUCCCAGUAUUACAAAUCUGAACAUGCGUAUGUCCACAUUUAUAGUAUUAGGAUGUAUCAUAUUUCAUACGAAGUUGGUUUAUUUUGGGACAAAGAGAGUAUUUUUCUAACUCAUCACUCGUUUUCCGUAUGCACGCUUCCCAAACAGAACAGUUAAAGGUUGUAUCUUUUGUAAAAGUUUUUUUAAGAAAAAUUAUUUUAAAAAAAAUUACCAAUAUUUAAUUAAUCAUGUGUUAAUGGAUAGCUAUGUUUUAGUGUGCGAGAGAUUAGUUCCCAACACCUUUGAAUGAACACAGCCUGAGAGGUGUUCAGAACAUAAUUAGUGCAAAUUAAGAAAAAUAAAUAAAUCAAAAUUGCUGGACUUAAAUGUAGGUUUGGACUAUCACCAAUGGUCAUCUGGUGUAAAUAAAAUUCUGAAGUUCCAUGGGUGAUAGAUCCAGAAUGGUGAGUUCAGCAGAGAUAAGCUUCAACAACCUUUAAUUCAGGUGUACAUGCAUUUACCUCACCUGAACAAAAUUAUGUUAAUGGUGGCUGGAGUCAAGUUGUGCCAUUCAGAUCUCCAGUGUCUGAAACUUGUGUCACAAAUCAGCGAGCAGCAGCAGCAAUUCUGAAUUUGGUGCUAUAUAUCAAACCUCCGGUUCGAAAUUUGCUAGCUGAAUUCUGAUCAGGAGACGCCGUUCUGUAUUUGAAAUUACUGAAUCUGUUUCUGCUGGAAAGACAAUUUCCUUUCGCUUCAGAUUUAUAUAUGAAUACUGACCUAAUACAAUUUCAGAAUUUCUCUACCGGUGAUCGGAUUUUGCUGAAGAACAUUUCAUUUAUUCACCAGCUCGUCAAAACGUAUCACAACACCGAAUUCAGCAGAGGUCUUUGCUUGGAGCCAACUUAAUUUUCUUCCUUUCCCUUGUUAAGGAAAAUACCAGUGAACCAAAACAGCCGUAGAUACAAAUGCUUGGGAUUUGAGAGAAGCGCGAUUUAAUCAUACAGAAUACCAGUAACAUAAAAUCGCAGAGUGCAUGUUGUGCAUCAAGAUUUCAGAUCUCAACAUCAAAUUUAAGCCAGAAAAAUUGGAUUCAGUUUAAGCCAAAAAAGUGUAAAUGGAACACCUACUACCAAGUAGUACCAACACAGACUGACGGACACGAAAUUCACUACCUGCCUACUCAUUCUUCAGCUCAGCAAGAAAACUGGAACAAUAUCCCUUGACAUCAGCAGGUUCGGAGUCCCCUGCUACAUACCUGAGAAGAGGUUUGACUGCAGCCAAGUCAUCUCUGUUCCUUCUGAAUGUCAUGCAGUUGCAAUUACUCUCUAAGCUCUGAAUUCUUUGAUAUGAAAACUUGCAUAUUUUGGUCAUAUGAUUUUAGCAAGCAACAGACCUGAUACUGCACAAAAGGACAAGCAAGUAAUGUCAUCAUAACUGAUACAACUCAAAUUCCACGAAACAGAACCACUGUUUUACAUCCUGAAUUUUUACAUGCCUACACAAUUUACAGAUGAAGCAAAAUCAGAUCUAGAGAGACAAGUUCUUCUUGGCAUCAACAGGCAGACGGCUAAGCAUGAACGGGACUGGAUUAGUAAUAUCAAGCACUCACGCAUGAUGGCUCAAUGAUGCUGAACUGCAACCAUCACAGGGAAUCUAAUAUGACGGAGAAUACAGUAACAUGGUUGAAAAUGGGCACUUGACGGGCAUCAUCAGACUAAGCAAGAUGUGCAUUUGAUCGACCCGUCUUGUAGUCAUCACAAGCCAUCUCAUAAUUCUGCUUGAGCUCCUCGUAAUGCUUCAGUGAAGCCUCUGAGAACUUUGUCAGGCGAUCCAGAACCGUAGUCAGCUUUGACUGCAACCCUUACACUCAUUUCAUGGCAAAAAAUGCCAAGCAACACUAGUAGUACAAAGGAAGCAGACUUAGCAGCCAUGUGACAAUAUUUCUGAGUAGAGUGGAACAUAGGGAAGAUAUCCACUGUUAUUACCCGGCCCAAGAUUUUCAAUAACACACGAUUGUUUAUGACCCAUGUCAUAUGACAUCAGUGUAUCUCCGCCAGCAAUAUAGUAAAUCAAAUUGCACUCUGAAUGAACUGCGACCACGUGGUAGUACCAAGCCUUGUCGAAGUCGGUUUUGCACUUGCAGUUUAUCUUCUCAGACAGCUGUUCGGUAGUCAGCUUAUGCUUCAAUGUCCAUUCAUCCUUGGAAUAAUCCUCAAGAACCCAUAUUGACAGGUUCCAAGGGACAGUGUCAUAUGCACUGAGGUAGCACAAUUUCCCUUGGGAUUGACCGAUGAAACAAGACACCAAAGCAAACAUAUCUUCCACAUUUUCUAGUUCCGGUCUCGGGGCGCCAAUGCUCUGCCAUAUCUCCCCUUCCACAUCUACUGAUAAUAUCGCAAUCCCCUCUUCAACUAAAUGCAGCAUGCCAUUGAAAAAGGUCCUUGUGCGAUCAUAUACGGUGGUUUCAGGGUCCCAUUCACUUUCCAUGAAAUUCCAUAAUCCGGUUUCCGAAGAGUAGAUCUCCACCCCUUCCACAAAUCCACAAUCACCCAUCACAAACUCAAAGACAUGGAAGUGCGAGGAGACGGCAGGAUCAAACCCCAAAUGGGUGAAGAACUGCCACUCGGGGUUGUAGCCGGAAUCUGGGAAGGCAACCCAUUCCUCGGUGGAGGGAUUGCACACGAGGUAGCAGAAUUCGUCCGAGCUCAUGAAGCAGCGGAAGAGGAGGAGGCCGCCGCAGCAGUCCACCAUCCUCAUGCCCUCCAAGUCGAAGCGAGGCAGGAAGGAGAUGGUUGGGCAGAUGAGAGGCCGGCCUCUGCCGGUGACAUUGACGAAAUGGCGCGCUAGCUUGGGGGCAGCGUGAUUCGUUCUCGCUGCGGUAGAAGAAGCCGGCGAGGGUUUGGGGGAGCUUCUUGCGGUGGUCGGGGUCGGAGAUGAGGCCGCGCCACCGCCUGGAUACGCACUUGCAUCGGCAGACCGACUUGCGGGGAGGCGGGAGAGGAUGUCGACGAUGAGGUCGUCGGUGAGCUCGGCCGCCGGAUUCCUCGUCGUACUGGAUCCCUCCUUCUUCAGCUUGGAUUUCUUCGCCAUGUCGACAGGAAGCGCGAGCUGCAAAC
rnacentral:lncRNA from 1 species